rnacentral:lncRNA from 1 species
ACACAUUCUAUUCAGUCCAUAGAUGGGUUUUUCUUGUCGGUAGUAGUAAUAGCGGGAAAAGGAAACCGCUGAUCCGGGAUCCAUGCACAGCAAUCUAGUGAUGCAUAAACCAAGUACUUCAAGACUGACUGAAACUAAAAUGCAGAUCUCGCAAGGCAACACUCUCCAACAACCUUUAGGUAAGACAAAAGGAAAGGCUUAUUCAACUUCUUAAAGAAAAAUAAAGAAAAAGAUC